rnacentral:siRNA from 1 species
CAUGUAUUAAACGGACAACUUAA